GAGAUUAGAUUAAUAAUUUCUUUAAUACUUAUUUUCUGUAUUCUCUUUAAUUUCCUCAGUUUGUAAAUGGUAGUUUAAUAAUUUGUCUUAUUUUAUUUUGUGAGGUAGUUAGAGUUGAAUAACUUGCCCAGGGUCACACAGCUAGUAAAUUAUCAAGUGUCUUAAGCCAAAUUUGAACUCAGUUCCUCCUGAUGCCAGGAUCUGUGUUCUUUCCACUGUUCUACCUAACUACAUCCUAGUUUAAACAUCUUAAGUUGUUUUCUCAUUCAUCUUUACUUUAGAUAGAUAUAUUAAAUUAGGUUAUUAAAUUGUUCCUCCUAUUUAGAUAUUUAUUAGCUUUUUAAUGAAACCACUAAAAUACUUGGAAUUAUGUUUAAAAUAGCUUUCCAAGACAUGAAUAGUUAUCUGUUUUGGAUAUCUCAUCCUGAAAACUGCUGGCUUAUCUAUUUUCUCUUUGUUGUAAAAAAUGAUGUGCUUAAUACCUGGCAAUAGGGUAAGACACUUAAUUAAGAAAAUGUUUAUUGAUUGAUAUGUCUUCAAAUUUUCCUAAUGUUUUUCAUGACAAUAGGCUAAUUUACUAUAUAUAUUCUAAGAAAAUUAUCUGGGUUUCAAUCUUCUCAAUGUCUGUCAAUUUAACUUAAUUAUGAGAUUGGUGUUUAAGAAAGUUUGUUAAUUCUCCUAGGCCAAUAGGAGUCCUUUUCAUGUAGGAAUUGCCUAGUUAAAAGCUACCAAGUAACUUGAUUCAGUUAUUUGGAAUAUUAAAGAUCUCUUAAUGGUUAAAAAGUGUUAAUGCCCUCUCCUCUCCCAAAGUACUUAUCAACCAAAUUGCAUUUAUUAAACACCUCAUUUGUAUAGGCCCUAGGCUAAGGGUUGAAGAUAGAAAUAUAAAAGUGAAAUAUCAUAAUCCUGCUUUCAGGUAGUUUGUAUUCUAUUAGGGAAUACAAGAGAUAAAAAGAAAUGUUAGCCAGAAAAGGGAGUUUUGGUCACCAAGAUUAUGACUUGAAUUAUAGGAGAAUGGGGGUGGGGGAGAAAUAUUUAUUAAAAGCCUACUUCAUGCCAGGCAUUGUGCUAAGCACUUUAUAUCUACACAGGUGACUCCAAACUACCAUCCCAUUACUCUUCCUGCUGAUAAAACUUUAUAUUUAAUUUUCUCAUCUUUUAUAGACUUCCUGUUUUUUUUUUUUGUUUGUUUUGUUUUUUUUUAAGACUAGGUCUCAUUGUUUAGCAGAGGCUAAAGUGAAUGGGCUACUCACAAGCCCUAACUUUAGGCAACCUUUUGUCUCCCUCUCUUCCUGGGACUCACUAUACUUAAUACCAGACAUAGUGUGAACUUUUAAUUCCUUUUGCCCUGUGCAGCUUAGAAUUCUGAAUUUGAAAUUAGUUUUAGCCUCCCUGAAUCUAGGAUUACAGACCUAAGGUUAAUAAGAAUAUAAUUUUAACUUGUUCUUACUCAAUAUUAAUUAGACCUGGAUGAUGCCCUCAGAUUCUAUCGAGAUUUAUGUAACUGUUUGUUGUUAUUGUUGUUAUAUUAAAUGCUACUACUAGGUCUUUUUGAGCUUUUUGUGUCUGCAUUUUUCUAUCUAUCUUCUUUCUUCUCUACUGGCUUGUCUAUGCAGUCUUUUUGUUUGCAUCUUCAUUAUUCUUCUAGUUUUAUGCUUUUAGUCUUCUUAUAAAGAGUAUAAUCAUUUCUCUCUGAGCAGUUUUCCUAGGACUAAAAUGCAUGAGCAUCAGAUCAUGGAUUUUGUGAUAUAAGUUUUGUUAUCCAUUUCCUCAUAUUUUACUGCUUAUUUGUGCAAGUAGGCAGUUUGAAGAUGAGAAUUGUAAAAUUUCCCCCCUAAUUCUUUUUGUUCAAAAGUAAAUUAAUAUCCAAGUGGAAAGACAAAUGAGACACAGGACCUAGAUUUGAAUCCUAACUUCUCCUUUCUGUGAUGCCUUAGCAAGUCACUUAAACUCACUGGAUUUCAAUUUCUUCCUCUUUAAAAUGAGUGGGUUAAUGUCUGGCUAACGCUCUAAAAAUAUUAAGUAUGUUAUAAAAUUCUGGGUUUUAUUGACCAGAAGUGCUUACUUCAGCCCAUGUCCUAUAACUUGAAAGUUAUAUAGGAUUAAAGGGUUUAGAAAAAGUGCUUUUUUUUGCUUUUUUUUUUUUUUUUUGGUUGCUGGGGAGAGGAGGUUGAAUUAUAUUUUUAAAAAAUUAUUUGGAGACUAGAAUGUUAAAUAUCUUGUUUCUGAAAUUCUUAUUGAACAAUUAUUAUUUAGCUCAGAAAUGUCCAAACAUUUGAGUUUCUGAACACAGAAAGUCCAUGAUGCCUCUAAUGUAUUGGUUAUAUGAUUGACUUCACUGUACACAUACAGUUUUCCUUUAUUAUUAUCCAUGCCCACACAAAGAACUUGUUUAUUAGAUUUCUGUAAAAUAUCAGGAUUUAGAAAUUUGGCAAAAUGUUAAAUCAAUAUGAUAUAAUAGAAGAAGCAGUGGCUCUAAAAUCAGUUAAUCAGGGUUCAAACCCCAGAUUUCACUGUCUGUGUUCUUCCCUGACUCUCUGUUUAUAAAAUGAGGAGGUUGGACUGGAUGGUCUCUGAGGUCCCUUUUAAGUCAUAGAUGUAAGUAGGUAUAGAUUCUUCUUCUCCUUUCCUUCCUUCCCCACCCUACCCCCUCAUCCCAUCCACAGAAAGAGAUUAGAACUCUUGUGGACCCAUCCUUUUUGUAUUUGUAAUACUUAGAUCCUGGUUAAUGACUGACUCAAAAGUUAUUCAUUUGAAGGUUGAAAAAGCACAAAAUAAUAAUAUUUUUAAAUUCUGUAUCAUCUGAAGGAAACAUAAAUGGAAGACUGAUUACAGCUUAACAUAAAGAUUUUUCUAACAAAAUUGAUCACAUUAGUCAGCUUCCUGAGGUAAUAAAUACCCCCCCCCCCCUUUCUUCCCAUUCCAAAAGUGCUGGGAUAUUAUAAGGGUUUUUGCAGUAGGUUCAUGGUCAGAUAUGAUAAUUUCUGUAAAGCAGUUCCCUUUUUGUGGGUUUUUUUUUUUUUGAUAGAUUUGUAUUGAUUGUCUUUUGUUUUUACACCAUCCAGAGGUUGCUCCCAUCUUUCAGAGAGCCAUCCCUUAUAAUAAUUUUUCCCCCUGAGGCAAUCGGGAUUAAGUGACUUACUCAAGGUCACACAGCUAGGAAGUGUUAAGUGUCUGAGAUCAGAUUUGAACUCGGGUCCUCCUGACUUCGGGACUGGUGCUCUAUCCACUAUGACACCUAGCUGCCCCAAAGCAAAAAAAAUUUUGGAAAAAAAGGAAGAAGAGAAAAACAACAAAGCCAACAUGAACCUUUUUUUUUUUUUAAGUAUUCUGCUGGAAUUAGAGGAUGAAGAAUGCUUUAAUUUGUAUGUGUCUUCUAGACAAAAGAUAAUUGUUAUUUUAACAUAAGUUUUCAUUUUUCUGCCAAAAGGGAACCUUGGGUUAACAAAUAAUUUUUGUUUAUUUGGAUUUUUUAAAGCACAUUUUAAAAAUUAAGAAUUUCAUUUGCUGUUCAGAAUUUGGAUUAUUCUCUGUGUAAUUUUUCUUCCUAUUUUUACUAAACCAAGCCAUCUUUAAUCUUAAUCUGCAAAAGUGAUCGGUCCUCAAAAUGUUAUCUCUUAAUUACUAAACUUUUCCAGAUUCUGACAGUUCUUCCUUCCUGACUUGCAGAUAUCUGAGAACACUGUAUUUUGUUUCAAAUAAAUCACAUGUUUAAUCUCAAAUAGUUGUGGCGCUCAAAAAUCUCCUCGGGCAAGUUUAUGGUUUUCAGUUUGUUCAUGUGAGUUGGAUUAAAUGAUCUCCAAGGUCCCUUCCAAAUCUCAAUUAUGAGAUCCUAAUGUGUGGUUAACAGCCACAAAAGGAAGUUAGUUUUUGAUAAUUGUUUCUGAAGGCAUUCUGAAUAGCAAUUUAUGCUUAGUAUCUUUUCUGAUCAAAUGCCUCACGGAUUUGAACAUUUGCAAAUCUACUUAUUUCUUUGGGGUCCUUGGGAUUGAUAAAUAGAUUGUAAAUUAUAUCAUCCUUUGAUAAUUUUUCUAGAAUCUUUAAAAUAGUUUCUGUGAUUCUGUGCCUUGUCUUUAAUUUUUCAUGGUGAAUCUCAUUAUUCAAUUUUAAGAUUUUUGUAAUUAAGGAGCUGUAUACAAUUUUCUACUUACGCCACUGUCCUUGACAGGCUUUGCUAAGAAUUUAGCAUGAUUAUGGAGAUGGUAAAUUCACCAGCUUGAAAAUACACAUUUAUCUGGUUGUAGUUUAUUAAGGCUUGGCUGCCUUUUUAUUUUGUGUAUUUAUCAUUCCUCUACACUCAUCUUUUGUUCUAUUACUGAUUUUGCUGUUCAGGUUUCAUUAACCAGAACUAUUCCUGGAAUGCUCCAUUUUGAGAGAAUAAGUCCUUCCCUUAAAAGACACUUGCUUUUUUUUUUUUUUUUUUUUUUUUUUUUAAGGUGCAUAAGGGACCUUUUUAGAUGAGAAAAAGAUUUCUCUUGUCUAUUUUUCAUGUUGGAUUCAUUUAUUCCUCAAAUUCCUGCCCCUAUACUUUGAUUCUAUAUCCAUCUCUCUUAAUUGCUUGUCAUGCAUCAGAAAGGCACUUUUUUAAGACUGAUGUGGCAUACAAGUGCCUUAGAGACACUUUUAAUGACCAUAGUCAAAAUUAGUCUUAGAGAGGUUGUUAUCUGUGUACCUGGACACCAGAUUAGGUUUGGCAGUUGACCCAUAUUUUCUGCAGGGACCAGUUCAACCUUAGAAAGCCAUUUUACCCAGGCAUCUUCUAGAUGUUUUAGGCCAUUUGAGUUUAUAACAAAAACUCCUGUUUCUCAGUUUUGCUCCCAUACACCAAAUAAUAACCUUAGGAAGGCUUUGGGUCUGUUUUUGGGAAUGGGACAAUAGGGGAUAAUCCAAACCCCCAUUGCUAUCUUCUAAUUAGGUAAGCAUUUUUCCUGUCAGCUUGUCUAGCUAUCUCAACAGACAUUGGCCAAAUCCUUGCAAUAACUAAUGCUCCUUAGGUACACAAUAGAUUGUUACUUGCUUAAUGCAUGAAAAUUGUCCUUGAUGUGAAUUAACAAUAGAUGGCUGUUUAUUUUUGCAGAAAUAUACUAGCUGUAAAAAAGAGAUUGAUGGAUUUUUUUUUAUCACGUUUUGCUAAUAUUUGUCUUAAGUAAUGUUUCAUUAUUUACAUUUAGUUCUGAAUAAUAAACCUGAAUCUAAACUUUGAAUUGAGUUUGAAAUUAUAAUCUCUUUUUUACGACAAUAAGAGAAAGCAUUACUAUAUAUGAAAGUAAGGGUGGUUUUGGUUGUUGGUUUUGUUUUGAUUUUUGGUUUUUGUUUUUUGCUUUAGAAGCAUUUCUAGAUUAUAACAUUUCAAGGUUCUGAUUUUAGCACGUAUAUAUACCCAACCAUUUUUUUAAGUGUUUAAGUUUGGAAAUGUGGGGUCAAGGUAUUCUAAACUCAAACUAUUAAAUGAUAUAAGUAUCUACUACCUUUCAGAUUAUUAGAUACCACAAAAUUCAGAGUACAAGAGAAUGAAACUUCAUAUUUAGAUUUAGUUACACUGAGACGUAUGGUAGUGACCACUUGUAGGUAAGAGCAAUAAAGAGCACAUUAUAAUUACUUAGUUACUCAACAAGCAUGUAUUAUACAACUAGUAGGUUUUAUUGUGGGGUUCUUUAUUUUUUGGUAAACAUUUUAACCCAUUCUAUUUUUUGCAAGUCAUUCAUUUUGUCCUUUUUUUAUGCUUGUUUCUAAUUACCAACAAAAGUGAUUCAUUUUUAAAAAAAAUUAUGCAUUUGUGAAUCAUGGUACAAGUAUACAUGCAGUUCAGAACUGAUAGCAGAAAUGUUAGACAAGAUGCUGAGAAAUUCAUGUAGUGUUUUGAAUUAUGUCUGAGAAAUAGAAGAGGUCAUGAUGUUCCUCAAACAUUGUCCCAUCCUUACAAUGGGGUUGGUUUCUGUAGCAGCUUUGAUAGAUAGAAAGCCUUCUUUUCUUAUAAAACAUUAUAACCUAUGGAGACUUAUUACAGUUUAUGAAUGUGAAAGGGAACCAUAUGUGAAACUUGAAAUGUGUAAAGAAGCUUGUUAUCCAUGGUUGAUGCAUGAUCUUUUCCAGACAACCCUACUCUUGUCCUCUAAAACAAUUGUUGGUUGAAUUUGACUCUAAGAAUCAGUAAUUUCUCAGACCUUUCUAUUCUGUAAUCAUACUUUUCUUUUAAUAAUGCCAUGAGGAUAUUUGCUAAUAUAAAUUCCUAAUGGAUUUCAUUCUGUCAAGCACAAAUAAGCCUUACUUAGUUUAAUCAUAAUGUGGAUAUUUUCCAAUAUGGGACAGCUGAGUGAAUAUUGGCUUCCUAAAGAGAUUUGCAGCUUUCAUAAACUAAAAAAAUUCCAAGUUAUAAGGUACAGUUAAGCCUGUCUUCAGAUGAAGUUACAUUAUGCAUGAUAAAAAUAAUAUUUAAAGAAAUGUGCAAUUCUAAUGGUACUUUGUGACCUACAGAAAACUGAUUAACAGCAGAAAUAAUUAUAAGGUUAGUUUUUUUGAAACUUCUACAUAGAGUUUAAAAGCUUAAAAAAAGCAAAAAGCAAUGGCUCAAGUGACAAGUCUCCAAAUCUAGUAGGAUAGUCGUCUUGAGAAUUUCUAUUCUGUUGGAACAAUUGUGUUACUGGGCUUUAAUUAAAUGCCUUUGUUUCACAUUCUGAGGUCCAAAUUAGCUCAUUUAUGGAAUAAUUGUCUAUUCCUUGGCUAUUAUAGAAUUGAUAAAAAUCAGAAGUGUUUUUUAUCUAUAAUCUUUCUUAACAAAUUGCUUUACAGUUUACAAGUAACACUAAUGCAAAAAGAAUAUGUUCACUUUUUUGGAUUAUGUAGCACUUAUUUUGUUUACAUAUUCAGUAUAAAGUUGAGUAACUAAGGGAUAAGUUCUCUUAGUUAAGCACUUCAACUGUGCUUUGGGGACUUUAUUGCCAUUGUCCUGUAAUAUUGUACCAAGGAUCAGUGAAAGUGUUUUAUCUUUUUUAAUAUAGUUUGUACUGACUGGAUUUUAUAAUUGUGAGAAAAGAGUGUUGUAUUUUGAUCUGAAAUUUGUGUAUGGUAAAGUAAUCUUUUGUGUUUUGGAAGUGCAUUUAAAACUUGAAAUAUUUUUAGAAGGGUACAGACCAAAAUGAAUUGUCUUAAAAGGUGUUUAAUAAACUAACCAAAUAAAAUCAUUUCAUUGAAAAAGG
rnacentral:lncRNA from 1 species